CCCCAUUGGCUUGGCCCUCUCUAGUUCCCGACUUCCUGCCCUGCCCGCGCCACGUCACCGUAUCCUCCAUCUCCGCUGCACCACCGCAGUCCUUCUCCUGCCCCUCCACUGGAACCAACCGGAGAACACCUGGAAGUGGAGGAAAUCCCCGCCUGUCUCUCUACUGGAUCUGGAUCGGCUCCCGUGACUCUUCCUCCCUCUGUUGAUCCGGCAUGGAGGUCAAACCUGGCGUCAGUUUGUCUUAGCGGAGCGGCCGUGUGGUGGCCGGUCUACGGCAUGGCUCAUUGGAGGUAGCAGCGACAGCGGCAUCGCAGUUUCCUUCCCCGUCCAUGAGGCACACAUACUGGAACACGGCGGUCCAACCAACCUUUGGCCUCCGCUUCUUCCUCCCCGACGGUGCUGUGGAACCAACGCUGGGUUCCGCUACCCCUGACCGUGGCCUAACACGCACGAACUGAAGAUAAGUUAUUCUAUUUCUUCCUUAAAGUGAGAUCGUUUGCUUCUCUGAUCCAGUUCUAGUAAUUUGUACAAGGCCUUAGCUUGUUGUCAGGGAGGAACUUUCAUCUCAUUGCUAAAACUUGGGUAAACUGUGGGCAUACAAAAUACAUCUUUGUUUUUGUUGCCUUACAAACAUGGCUGUGAACAAACCGAAUGUUGGCAAACAAUCGUAUAUCCAUUUUCACUUAUUAUGAUAUUUCUGAAAGUGAAAGGGACUAAGGAUAGCACAGAGAGCAGAGAGCACACGGGUUAUGUUGGAAAAAUUGGUCGAAGUUACAAUGCAUUAGCUGGCAUAAAUAUAGCACAACUAGCAUGCCUAGAUGCACACAACGUUGAUGGUAAGAUAUGCUUGACAACUACCUAACAGGAUCAGAUUAUUCAUUUUGUAAAUGUAAAAAAAAUAUUAUUGUCUUCACAACGUCCACCACUGAAUAUCUCUAUGUAUUUCUAGACCUUGAUUUGAUAUUAAAAAGACAAUCCAAUUUAUCUUCACGCUUAUGUCCUGGAAGGUUUCAGGAUCUGUAUCUAUAUUCGUGAUUGCUACUGCAUGUGUUCUGACUCGGCUUGUACCUUCAUUAAAAUGAAGUAAUACUUAAGCUAUGUAUGAGUCUGAUUCGUGCAAGCCUUGUUCCUACUGCUGCCACCUUGUAUAAAUAUAUACUGGUUCAUGCAAUACUUGCUCCUACUUCAAACUUUUAGUCUGAACGUACCUAUAUAUACUUGCAUCAGACUAAAUUUGUAGUCUGAUUCGUGAAGUAGGAGCAAGGGUUGUUCCUACUACUGCCACCAUGUAUAAAUAUGUACUUGUUAAUUUCAUUUAACUAUUUUUUUCUGUCACAAAUAAUAGUACUAUGCUGGUCAAGUGGGCAGCGUAUAGAAUCGUCUUGCACAGAAGUAACAUGGAUAAUAUAAUCAAUGGGUUUAUGAUAGAAAAUCAUUUUUGUAUAUCCUGAAUGAAUAUAAACGAUGCAUGAUUAUUUCAAGUUGCACUUUCCUAUCUAUUAUCUCAUUGUUUAUCAAGUAUUUUCAUGUUUCAUAGUGCACUACAUUACAAUGGGUUUAUAUGGCCUCAACUACUGCUGCUAUAGUAGGAGUUCUGUGAUGUGUGUUUCGUCACUUUGUCAUUUGACACACUUUUCUUUGGGUUAAUUUUAAGCAACCUCAUGUUUAAUCUUGUUUUAUAGUAGAUACAAUGUUAUUCUCAUUUGUAGGCACUACAAGAUUUAAGAAUUCUGGACAUGUAAUUCAUUUUUAUAUUUGUUGCAAUUUUCUUAUUUCUACUAUCUAUACAUAUGUGCAAAUAUCUAAUAUUCUUGUUAAUAUGCUAGGUAAGAUUGGAUACUGUGCUACUUGGUGCUGCCCAUCACGGCAUGAUCGUUGCCAUCAAGAACGUCGAUGGCAAGAGCUUGAAUAACAACCUCGAUAGUUUAUAUGUUCUGUUGAUGUAAAAUGGAUUGUACUGGUUCAUAACUCUGUUGUGUGAUAUAUUUUGUCAAUCUAUGUUGUAUGUCAUCACUUUGUAGAUGAUUUUUUAAAUUGCUGUGUUGUAGAUACAUACAGAUGGCUAUGUUAAACUUUGUAAUGUUUCACACCUUGCAAAUAUUUUUUGUUGGGAAAAUUUGGCAUUAGGAUUUGUGUAACGCCCUUUAAAUUGGCCCUUAAAAACAUAGUUAAAUUCUGGCCAAAAGAAACGGGAUAAUGGGCUAAGCCAAAUUUAAACCGCCCUUUAAAUUGUGCCUAAAUCCAUGACGAAUUUCGUGACGGAAAAUAGUAUCCACGUAGGCAGCCACGUAAUUCAAAUUACUCAAUUGAAAAUCCUAUGUGGCGUUAGUCCAUGACAGAUUGUUCCGUCACAAAGGUUUGGGCCUGGGCGGGCCGGGGGCAG